rnacentral:rRNA from 1 species
GAUGAACGCUAGCGGAAGGCUUAACACAUGCAAGUCGAGGGGUAAAGAGUAGCAAUACUUUGAGACCGGCGGACGGGUGCGUAACGCGUAUGCAACUUACCUUAAGCAGGGGGAUAGGUCCCGGAAACGGGAAUUAAAACCGCAUGACACAUUAGAUUCGCAUGGGUUUAAUGUAAAAGUUGAGGUGGCUUAAGAUGGGCAUGCGUCUGAUUAGCUGGUUGGUAGGGUAACGGCCUACCAAGGCGACGAUCAGUAGGGGUUCUGAGAGGAUACACCCCCACACUGGUACUGAGACACGGACCAGACUCCUACGGGAGGCAGCAGUGAGGAAUAUUGGUCAAUGGGCGGAAGCCUGAACCAGCCAUUCCGCGUGAAGGAAGAAGGCCUUACGGUUGUAAACUUCUUUUCUGUAAGAAGAAUAACCGGGACGAGUUUCCGGGAUGACGGUAUUAUAGGAAUAAGCAUCGGCUAACUCCGUG